rnacentral:lncRNA from 1 species
AAUCCAUCACAGCACGAAGUGAGGUGAAGCUCCUUCUCUGGAAGAGACCUGGCCUCCUGAAGACUAUGGCUCUGCUGCUCCUGAUGCUGGUGGCAGUUCCAGAGAUGCUGAGUGUGUGCACUUUAGAGAAAGUUCAGAUGCUGGCUUGUCUGAAGCUCUCCUCAACCCUCAUGUCCCCUGCAGGUCCCCCUGGAGCAUCUGGAACCAUGGAAGAGAAGGGAAUGGAAAAUUCCCUGGGGUGGUGCGUCUGCUACCAACUGCUCAACACCUCAGAGCCCCUACCAUGCAGGCUAGAGGGGCCUAACUGUCCUGGGAGCCUCGACAUCUGGGACAAGACCACAGCUGGCAGGGUAAAGAACUGUACACACAAUGCUAAGGCUCGGGACUUCCAAACCAUCAAUGCUUCACUGAAGAGUGACAUCCCAGCUUGUGGGGGGCUUUUCAAGAAACAGAAGAGAUGGGACAACUUUCUCUUCAAGUCCAAGGCUGUACAUUACCAACCUGAUGCAAUAUAUUCCAAUGUGAUCAACCUGGUUGCCCAGAAGGAAGAUGAUUUUGCCAUUUAUGCCAAUAUACCACGUUUCCAGUGUCCCAGGAAAACCUCACCUGUUGUCACCUAUGCUCCUGACCAAAUGGAACAUCCUUCCAGUGUAUUCCUCUGAUGGAGGACCCGAAGACUAUUCUGGAAUGAGAGAAAGCAGAGAUGAGAGGUGGUGGACUGCAAAGAAGGUGGUGGAAGAAGGUUGCCAAGCUUAGCAUGAUGAGAUUUAUGUAUUUUUUAAAAACUGACCACCAGUCCUCAUGUUUAUAGGGACAGAGAUGAGAGCAUGAAUUUUUUUUAAGUGUCUAGGAAAUACAGGGAAUAUUUAUAUAUUUAAAUGUCCUUUAAAUAGGACAGACACCUCAAGUCUAACAGAGUUAUCAGUAGUAUGUGAGAGGAGUGGGGAUAUGGGCACACGCCACUCAUGCAGCUCUAAAAUGUCCAAGCAAAAUGUCAUUUUUGUAUCAAGUUGGAAGUAAAAAAUCAGGGACCAGAUAGCUGAUGUGAUUGUCGUCCCAGGUGAGGAACUGGGACCGUAAGAAGCAGCAGAGUGCAGUGGGAAAAAUGCUAGAUUUAGAAUCAGUCUUCAAAUCCUCAGGCACUCCUGUGACUUCAGUCACUUCACCUUUCUGGGUCUCAGUUUCCUCAUCUGUAAAAUGAAGGCAUUAAACUAGAUCUGGGGUUCUUAACCUUUGUGUGUAUGUCAUGGAUCACUUCAGUCAGUCUGGUGAAGCCAAUGGACCCCAUCUCAGAAUGAUGGUUUUAAACACAUAAAAUAUUUUAGAUAUAUAAAAUAAAAUACUUGGGAUUACAAAGGAAACUAAUGAU